CAGCGAGAGUUAAGCACUACGCCAGGUCACCCCAACCAGCCUCGAGCUCUCCAGGAGCCUACGAGGGAGGAGAAAUAGGCGAGGGGAGUGGGGCUGGGCGGACCGGGGAAGAGGAGGGUCGCGUGUGCGGGCCUCGGGCCGUGCUCCCGGGCCUCAGGAGGCCCGCAGCUCCCGGCGCAGCCAGUUUCGGAGGGAGGGAGGGAGCCGGCCCCUGCGCUGCCUGCCUUUAUUCAUUCGCCGCUUUUCACAAUAAGCACACAGACCAAAUUAGCCCCGUAUCAUGGCAUCUAACUGUCACGUUGUUUAUGUUUUACUUUGGUUUAACACUCAAUUUGCGACUCUACUGCUCACAGUAAAGUGUCAAUUCCUUUGCCGAAUUAAAAGAAAGGACGAGAGUAAUUUAUUUCGUGUAAAAAGGAGUAUUUGAAACAAACUGUUUCAGUGACAGCUUUCAGCUUCUGAUUGUGACAGUUUGGAUACUAUUGACGCAAACUCUAUUUUCUUUCAUUUUAUUGUUUUCUAUCCCUUAAUAAGCCAGUCUAGCCUCUUGACCCUAGUCAGCUGAUGUGGAUCACAUGCGCUCGGUUGCCGGGUUCAUUUUCCCUUUUACCCUCCAUCUUCUUUCCGUUAUUUCCACAGUGGGAGCCAAGCAGAAUCGAGAUCCACCUUGGCCCAGCAAGGCUUUUCUUUCCAAAGGGCAAGGCGAUCGAUCCGAAGCGCCACUUUAAAGGCUCAUCAAUCUUAAUCUAGGUUGCUCAAGUAAUUAUGCCUGAUUCUCUUGUACGAUUACAAGUGGAUUUGGGUUUCUAUUCCCCAGGCCCCUCUUCUUUGUGUUUAUUGAAAGAUUCGUACAGACAGCAGUUCCCUGAUUUGCUGAUCCAUUUGCCCCUUUAAACAGACCAUCCAAACCCCUCCUUUAACUCUUCAGCACCCAGGUUACUUCUCCAAAGCCACAGAAUUUCCUUUCUAUGCACUUUACUAAUGGGAUCUCGGCAAAGAAAGACGUGAGGACCGGGAUUUGGGGAAAGCACUUCCACUGGACACCCAGCUAUCUGCAUAACAAAAACUACAACAACCGCUGCUCUUUAAUUGAGUAUCUGGAAGUUCUGGAAGCCCCUCAAAACAUAAAUGCUCAUUAAAAACAAAAGAGCACCAUUUUCCCAACACCAGGCAGAGGCUAUUCUGGCUGACUGUACACUAGAAGGAUAAGUAUUGUGUUUAAAAGACCAUUUGCAAUACUUGAUUGUGGAGGAGCCUCCUUCAGAGCUGCCCUGAGAAAGACACCUAUUCUAGAAUGUCCAAGAGAAGAUGUUUCCAUGGACCAGAUGACUACAUCUGUGACUCAAGAUAAAAUUAGGAAACCAAUUCGGAAUAAAGAUACCAAGUGACACAGCCAGAAAUGGAAGCCAGGCCACUUGAUUACAAAUGAAGUGCUCUUUCUACCAAUACAUGGCUGCUCCUACCAACUUACUACCAAGAGAUUUAGGAAGCAAGUGUAAUAAUAAGUAUUAUUUCUCAAUGCUGUUUAAUUUUGCAAUUUAAUUAAACAAAUUCUGUCCAUAUUUUGAGUGGACGAUAGGACUAAUAUCCACACAGGUCUGAUUAAAAUAAUUUGAUUAAGUAAUAGUCCAGAUGUAGAGGGAUGUUUUCAGUGGGAGCAUGAAGGCUCUACAAAUUAACAAAUGCUUCAAAUCAGGGUUUGAUUUAUUGUUUUGUUGACUGUCUCUACUUUAAAAAGUGGUAAAGAAUUAAUAAUGCAAAUUAAGCUUAAAAGUGUGUCCUGUACUUUCAGAGAUCUGGUUGUUAAACACUGAUCAACAUACUAACUUAAGUGUGCUGGAAACCUAGUUGAAAGUCAUGUUAGAAUUCUGUAGUACCCCCAAAUUUCCAGGGUGGUAUUAAAUGUGUUUCUGUUGAAAGCAUUUUGCAUUGUGAAGUCAAUUUCACAAUAAAGUCUGCAAAGGAAGAAAAAAAGCUCCAAAUGUAAGAUAGAUUUAUAAGACUAAGUAUUAUUUUGAAAAACUUGUGAGAUCAGAGGUGGGUGAAGUAUCAAAAGAUGGAUUCCAUUUAAAAAACCCAAUUGAAUAGUUCUAUAAUGGUAUCGUGGGUUAUGUUAUUAAGUGAGAUAUUCUUUUAACAUAAUUAUCAAUUCUGUACUUAGUAAGUGUGGUCAAAAAACAAAGGUGAAUAGUUUUAGAUUAUUUUAAAGUCAUGAAUAUUUUUGUGUUUUGUAAAGCUGGAUUCAGUAAGUGUUUUGGUUUUUUAAACAGAACCUGAGUUGACUUUUAAAUAGUUUUCCAGGGUUUGCAUAGACUUCCAUUAUAGAAUUGAAGAGCAAGGGGCAACGAGGUUAGAGACUCAGGGCAAAACUUUUAUUAUUUUGUUUGGUCCUGCAUAAAGCUUUAGAAACCUAAAGCUGGAAAUUUAAAGACAGCAUUUGUUAGAAGUAGGGAUGGGUAAAUGUGGCUUUUCAACUUUAGAACUCUGUGGGUUCUAAGUUUCAAACUGAACUUGAAUCCUUUGGGAAUAGUAUUUAUGACUGGCAAAACAACUUCCUGAUUCAAAGAGGAAAAAAAAAGGAGCUUAUAAAAAGGCUCAUAAGGCUUGUUGGACAUCAAAUAGCUUUUACAAAACAACAUUUUGAUGAGUUAAGUGUGAGUGAGUAAGGAACAUAUGGAUUAAAUUUCCCUUGAAUACACAUGGGUUUAAAAAUUAAGGGGAAAGAAAUAGGCAAAAAUGCAUUUGGGGUUUCAGUGAACCUAAAAUGUUUAAAAGAUACUCUGACACAGAAUCUUAGGCUCUUGCAAUAAUAGUUAGAAAUCAGUAACUGAAAAUAUAUUAAAAAAUAUGGUUAAACUUCUUUAUGAUAGUAGUGUUGGAGAAUACUAACACCU